UACGUAGGGUGCAAGCGUUGUCCGGAAUUAUUGGGCGUAAAGAGCUCGUAGGCGGUCUGUCGCGUCGGCUGUGAAAACACGGGGCUCAACUCCGUGCCUGCAGUCGAUACGGGCAGACUAGAGUUCGGUAGGGGAGACUGGAAUUCCUGGUGUAGCGGUGAAAUACGCAGAUAUCAGGAGGAACACCCGUGGCGAAGGCGGCUCUCUGGGACGGUACUGACGCUGAGACGCGAAAGCGUGGGGAGCGAACAGG
rnacentral:rRNA from 1 species